GUGACUAAAUAAUGUUUUUUUAUAAUAUCAAUUUUGAUUUCUAGACAUUGGUGGAAGUUUUCAACCCUUAGUUUCAUUGAAUUUGAUUGAAGCUUUACCCAACUUGGAGUCCAGAUCAUCUAUUCGAUAAAUGGGCUAUUCAAUUUUCAGGAUGAUGGAAAAUUUCUUAUAUUGCUGACGAGCCCAAGACGAUGAAUCAGAAUAACCUAAUCAAGAUUGGAAAAGUAUUUAAUUUUUUCUAAUUAUAUUUUGGGAUUUGGUGUAUGACUCUUUGUAAAAUUCUGGAAUUACAUAUCCGUUAUCUCACAAAAAAUAGUUGAAGAAAAUAAGCUCUUGAUUAUUAGCUGCAGAUAGUGAAGCCUUGGUAUGUGCUAGCUGCAAGUUAACACUAAUUUUAUGUGGGGGCAUUUUCGAAAUUAGAAAAUGAGAGAACAAAAUAAAGAGUUGUUAUAUUUGGAUGUUGGAAUUCGUUGUAAUGUUUGUAAGCAUUUUGAUAGAUUUAUUUUUAUUUUAUUAUGGGUAAAUAUAUUUUGAGGGAUGAUUUGAGAAUGAAUAAACUUCAGUUAUAUUUUGGA